UACGUAGGGGGCAAGCGUUGGUCCGGAUUUAUUGGGCGUAAAGAGCGUGUAGGCGGCUUGUCGCGUCGGCUGUGAAACCGUGGGCUACAACCCCGGGCCUGCAGCCGAUACGGGCAAGCUAGAAUUCGGUAGGGGAGACGUGGAAUUCCUGGUGUAGCGGUGAAAUGCGCAGAUAUCAGGAGGAACACCGGUGGCGAAGGCGCCACGUCUGGGCCGAAACUGACGCUGAGGAGCGAAAGCG
rnacentral:rRNA from 1 species